rnacentral:rRNA from 1 species
ACUCAAAGGAAUUGACGGGGGCCCGCACAAGCGGUGGAGCAUGUGGUUUAAUUCGAUGCAACGCGAAGAACCUUACCUGGGCUUGACAUGGGGGUGACCGGUCGAGAGAUCGACUUUUCUCUUCGGAGACACCCCGCACAGGUGCUGCAUGGCUGUCGUCAGCUCGUGUUGUGAGAUGUUCGGUUAAGUCCGGCAACGAGCGCAACCCUCGUCCUUAGUUGCUAACGGGUUAUGCCGAGCACUCUAGGGAGACUGCCGCGGACAACGCGGAGGAAGGUGGGGACGACGUCAAGUCCUCAUGGCCCUUACGCCCAGGGCUACACACGUGCUACAAUGGUCGGUACAAUGGGAUGCAAUGCCGCGAGGCGGAGCUAAUCCUUAAAGCCGGCCUCAGUUCGGAUUGGAGGCUGCAACUCGCCUCCAUGAAGCUGGAAUCGCUAGUAAUCGUGGAUCAGCAUGCCACGGUGAAUACGUUCCCGGGCCUUGUACACACCGCCCGU